AAGCAGGCUUCCUGCAGGGAAGCCUGAUGCGGGGCUCGGAUCCCAGAAUUCCGGGAUCACGCCCUGAGCCUAAGGCAGACGCCCAAUGACUGAGCCACCCAGGCGCCCCAAUCAGUGAUUUUUCAAAACAGCCUUUGGGAAAGCGAUUUGACAAAAUUUCUUCACAUGAAAAAUCUACAGACCUCAGAAAUCCUACUCUUGAGGCUGUAUUUUGGGGAAAUAAAAGUACCAUCAUGGGAGGCACAAAGAUGCGGGUUUUCACGUAAGGAUGUAGGAGAGCUUGUGUUUCCCAAGGACGAAAACCUGCCAGCAGGCAUGGAUUAGAGCUCGCUUAGUCUCCUGAGGCAGGAACAGGCUGAACAGCAGAGUAACGUGGCUGAAACAAGAUAGAAGUUUGUUUCUCUCACUGAAAGACACCGGAGGUAGGCGCUCCAAGGCGGAUCCGUGAUGGGAACAGGGACCCGCGUUCCUUCCAGCUCCCCGCUGCUCACUGUCAGGCUCCCGCCGGAAAUGCCACCGUUUUAUCCACCACAAGAGGAUGGGGGCAGGAUCUGGGAAGGGGACCCCUCUCUUCCUCCCAUCCUACAGUGACUUCUCAGAAGAAGGAAGACACCGCCAGCGCAGCCUUUCGCGAAACAGAGGACUGUACCACUGACUCAAAAGAUGAAACAUGUCCAGCUCCCACCGGGCUCCAGGACUGAACAUUGGUGAGACCAAAGAAGUCUGACUUGUCAGGAACCACUGUGGCUCUGGGAAGAAGGCUGAGAGGGUGGGGCUGUUUGCCUGAGGGCUUGGUUCCUAGCAACUGUGAGUAUUAUCUUUGGGAUGUUCCUCAGGGUGAUUUAUCUUUAUGGGGACCAACAGCAGACCAGCUCAAGACGGGUGACUUUGACAUAAACAGUAUUUUGAGUUAAAAGCAAUAAAAACCAAGCAGAUUCAAGAAAAUCUUUACUUCCCCCUCACCUGCCUGCCAAUACCAGGAAGAGAGCUAUUCAUAGAGAUUCCUCUUUACCUAAGAAAUUUACUUGCAUAAUAGAGCACCUUUGUUUCCCAAAACUCUCCUCUCACCUUCCCCCUAAUGGUCUUCCUCCCCUUUGGAUCCUUAGACCCCUACACCUCUCCUGAGCUCACAUAAGCUUCAUGUUGCCUCACUGUCUUUGGAAUUCCAUGUCUGUGUGCAUUCCCUGGACAUAUGCAAUUGAAUUUUAUUUUUUCCUGUUAAUCUGUCUCAUGUCAAUCUGAUUCUAGUCUAGUUAGAGGGACCGUGAAAGGUAGAGAAAACUCUUUCUCCCUGACAUCUUCAUCCUCUUGCCCUUCCAUCAGCAGGAGCUGCUCUUGGUACCUGGCUGGCUAGCCUACUUUGCACAGAGAGUGGGGCAGUAGCUCUGUUCUGAUCCAGUCUCAUCCUCAGCCAGGUGCUUUAUUUUUCAGUUUUUGGGUUGAGACUUCCAAGGGUUCCUGCCUUUCCCUCAGCAGAUGGAACCUCUUGGUCUGGGACAGGGUGUGGUACUGUCCUUCUCCCACUGGCCCUUCCCCCCAGCAGCCAUGUGUCUUCACCUGUGCCCUGAGGCAGUGGGGCUCCCUGUCCUUCCCUUACCUGGGGAAGGCUUUAUUCUUUUUGCAGAUGGUGGCCUUCUGCCCUUCUCAGGCAGCAGGUCCUCUCAGGUCUUAGGCUUGUACCCUGAGAAAGCAGUUACCUGGUCUGUAUCCUGGAUUCCAAGUGUCAGGAACCCCUGGUGAGGCUGAUGGGAUAAAGCCUCCUUACAGCGAAUUUCCUGAGUCUGUGACUCUCAGGGGCUCCAGGUGCUCAUGCUAGCCCUCAGUCAUUUGUUAACAGUUUCAGUGGAAUUUUUCUUUCCAAAUUAUAGAGCAUCUGGCAUCUGUCCCAAGUAGGCAAGGGUUUGCAUCCCGUUUCCUCUGAGGAGCCCGUCUUUCCCUAGAUUUUGGGUUAGGCUGCGCUGAUCCUUCAGCUCUGAUGGAUUCAAGAGACAUGAUUUUGAUUAUCCAGCUUUUCAUAAUCUUAAAUAUGGGCGUGAGCUCUUUCUAGUUUUCUAUGUUCCAAUCUUAACUUUCCAAAAAAAUGUUAUCUUUAUAAUAUGAGCCUGAGAUCAUUUCUGUUUACUUGUAAACCAAGAAAUAACAAGACAAAUAGUUCAAACGCAUUUAUCCAGAUGAUAUAAAGCACAGACAAAUAUUAUAGAGCCUUUAAACACUUAAGGACACCAUGAAAGAGGAAGGUCAGGAUGUCCAGCAGAGGGAAGCUCUUGAGAAGACAAGCAUGGAACAUUCAAGCAGCAACGGGAAGAAGGGAAUCUGGAUACGUGAUUCCAGAACACUCUACUAACUUCCCUUGCUACAAAUUCUCAUGGUUUCUUAUUACAAGUAAUAGGAGAUUUGCAGCAGGACCCUCUGUGUAAACACUCUGA